rnacentral:misc_RNA from 1 species
AACGCACAUUGCGCCCGCCAGUAUUCUGGCGGGCAUGCCUGUUCGAGCGUCAUUUCAACCAUCAAGCCCCUGGCUUGUGUUGGGGACCUGCGGCUGCCGCAGGCCCUGAAAACCAGUGGCGGGCUCGCUAGUCACACCGAGCGUAGUAGUCUACACCUCGCUCAGGGCGUGCUGCGGGUUCCGGCCGUUAAAAGCCUUAUUUUACCCAAGGUUGACCUCGGAUCAGGUAGGAAGACCCGCUGAACUUAA